rnacentral:rRNA from 1 species
GACGGAGGGUGCAAGCGUUGUUCGGAUUGACUGGGCGUAAAGGGCGUGUAGGCGGUUGGUCAAGUCUGAUGUGAAAGCCCGGGGCUCCAGCCCCGGAAGGGCAUCGGAAACUAGCCAGCUGGAGCGCGAUAGAGGAGGGUGGAAUUCCUGGUGUAGCGGUGAAAUGCGUAGAUAUCAGGAGGAACACCGGCGGCGAAGGCGGCCCUCUGGAUCGUUGCUGACGCUGAGACGCGAAAGCGUGGGGAGCAAACAGG